rnacentral:rRNA from 1 species
CUGACCUGCCCAGUGAUUAAUUUAACGGCCGCGGUAUAUUGACCGUGCAAAGGUAGCAUAAUCAUUAGUCUUUUAAUAGAGGGCUGGAAUGAAAGGUUUAACGAGGAAUUUACUGUCUCAUUUUAUUUGUUUUAAAAUUUAAUUUUUUAGUUAAAAAGCUAAAAUUUAAUUGGAAGACGAGAAGACCCUAUAGAUCUUUAUAUUAAUAUAUAUAUUUAUUAUUAUAUAAAUAUAAAUAUUUAUAUUCAUAUUUUGUUGGGGUGACAAAAAUAUACAAUUAACUUUUUUAUUUAUUUAACAUUAAUUUAUGAUUAUUUGAUCCAUUAUUAGUGAUUAUUAGAUUAAGUUACCUUAGGGAUAACAGCGUAAUCCUCCUCCAGAGUUCAUAUUUACAGGAUGGGCUUGCGACCUCGAUGUUGGAUUAAGAUAAUAAUUAGGUGUAGCCGCUUAAUUUAUAGGUCUGUUCGACCUUUAA